AAGAGCAUUCACUGAAAGAUGCAGGGGUGGGGGGUUAGUGGCCACAUGGUUGAGCGUGAACCUACUCUGGGGUUAGGAUGUGAAGCCUGCUUUGCCAUGACGACUAUCUCCCUCACAAACACACCCUGUUUACUGGUUACUGAGCUGCUGGGCCUGUGAAGUUAAAAUUAAACUGCAGAUUCCUUCAGGCCAGUGAGAGGAGUGGCCAGCAGUCAGGACACGGGUCUGGCUCACCAGUGCCCAGCUGGUUGUCAUGGCUACCUUGGGCCCUCCUCAGUAAACAGCUCAAAAGUGGAGUUAUUUAGCACAAGUCCAGGAAACACUUAGAGGACUGAGCUGAGACGUCGGCAUGGGUUGCAACUCCAGCAAGAGCACCUCUGUGGUGGACCCCUCUAACAAACCAACUGAGAACCCCCCGGGUGAAAGUGUGACCGAGGAGCAGGAGAUGGAUCAGAGUCCCAAAUCUUCAGCUGAACAGGGGGACACGUCUGUGACGACGGAGGUGGCUGUCAGCUGAAGGCAGAAACCUCCUUGCCAGCCCCCCCUACCCCACCUCACCCCACCGUACCUGCUUAUGGAGCUGGAUGUCAUAGCUGGAACCAACUCCUUCUUGCUAUUCAUGGCUACUUUAUUGUGGGCCUGUCACUAAGCUGGACCAUGGGAGGAGGCCUGAUGGGUGCGGGACAACCACACGUACUGUUCUUCUAGAAGCUUCUGCUGAUGUUCAGGUGCUAAAUACAGAAGUCGUCCAACCUUAUCAAUGAUGGCAUUUAAUGACAGUAGCCUGAUUAUUUCCUCUGGUUCCUCAAGAAGCCUCUUCUACCAACUAUUUGGCUCACUUCAGUUCUAGUUGAUAUAAUUUGCUUCAUAAUCUCAAAGAAUGAAGAUCUUUAAAACCUGGCCAUGUCAUCUGAUAAGAAAUUUGGUGUGUUUUUACAGCUGCUGUGUGGUGGCCCCCACUACAAAAUCACUGCAUGUCUCCAUCUGCCAUGCUGCAGCAGAAUGGGAUGAGCCCACAGAUCCCAAUGACUGCUGACUUUCCUCACUGUGGUGGGCAUGGAGACUCUUCCUGUGCAGCCUGAUCCAAUGCUUAUCAUGGAAGUCAUCACAUCAGCCAAGGAUUGGACUGGGGGGCACCACAGCUGGUGUGAAACUGAUGGGGGUGGGGGUGGGGGGGGUCGCGGAAGGAUCUGAUUUACCCCAGAAUAGGAUGGUGGGGCUGGGUAGUAGGCUUAUUUUUGUAUUUAUGUUUAAAUACUUGUGGUAAUUCUUCAAUUUCUGAAUACACACACACACACACAAAUGUACAAUGUGCACAAACGAAUCUGACGUGUAACUUUUCUCCAAAUAAACGCAGCCUGUGAUUGUC